CCGGGCGGGGCAAAAAAAGUACGACUGUUUGAUUUACUAUAUAACGUAAAAAGUAAAAGAGCUAUUACACUCAAAUAAGUGACAGUAUAUUCCACGAUGUUUAACUUAAAUUUUGAUAUAUGUCUUGUACCUUUUCAUGCAAUAUUGACUGAGAUAACUGUGUUUAAACUUAAACAAACAUUUUUGGAACCGCCGAUAAUUAGCUGAAAAGGCCCUAUUAAAACCAGUUGAACAAUUUUACCAUUUUCUUGCGACUAUUGUUUCAAUUAGUGGUUUGGUUUGACGAGAUCAGUUGUUCUGGGUCCAAACUUUGUUGAAAGAAAUCUCGACACGAGGGAGUAGCUCCAAUUGAUUGGGACAAGUCUAUGUACGAUUCACAAUUUGAGAGAGCUUCGUGAAGCGAUUGUUACAGCAUGCCACAACUUGAAACAGCAAAUGAUCCAAAAUUCUUUCGAUUGUAUGAUUUCACAGGCAAUACGUUGCAUUCGAGCUGGGGGACAUGCAUUUACUGAUAAAUAUAGACGAUUGUUUUUAAGAACAAGCGCGAACGUACUGACAAUAAAGUAUAAUGCGUCUCGACACAAG